AGCGAACGCUGGCGGCAGGCCUAACACAUGCAAGUCGAGCGCCGUAGCAAUACGGAGCGGCAGACGGGAGGGUAACACGUGGGAACGUGCCCUUUGGUUCGGAACAACCCAGGGAAACUUGGGCUAAUACCGGAUAAGCCCUUACGGGGAAAGAUUUAUCGCCGAAGGAUCGGCCCGCGUCUGAUUAGCUAGUUGGUGGGGUAAUGGCCCACCAAGGCGACGAUCAGUAGCUGGUCUGAGAGGAUGAUCAGCCUCACUGGGACUGAGACGCGGCCCAGACUCCGACGGGAGGCAGCAGUGGGGAAUAUUGGACAAUGGGCGCAAGCCUGAUCCAGCCAUGCCGCGUGGGUGAUGAAGGCCCUAGGGUUGUAAAGCCCUUUCGGCGGGGAAGAUAAUGACGGUACCCGCAGAAGAAGCCCCGGCUAACUUCGUGCCAGCAGCCGCAGUAA
rnacentral:rRNA from 1 species